rnacentral:ribozyme from 1 species
GGAAGAAGACAUGGCGGAUGAUAUGGGUGAUGGCGAGGGAGCUGACGUAGAAGUUGAGAUGGAAAUGGAAAUAGGAUAGUGUCACAGGGACGAAGCUACAU